ensembl:misc_RNA 7SK 7SK RNA
GCAAUGGAGUGUAUCUGACUUCCACACCUCUUCCUGCAAAACUCCAAGCUUCAUUUGGCUGAUCUAGCCAAGUGGGUGUCUGUUUUCUCUCUCAUUGCUCCAUAUGUCUCUUUUAUGCUUCUGUGACUUUGUCAAAGGUGAUGCUCUGCCCACUGAAUGGGGAACCUUUCUUCUGCACACAAUAUAUGAGUAGUUAAGCUUCCCUGCAGGAGUGCCCUAACAUGUUCUCAGGGGCCAUUUGUGGAAGAACAUGGAGAGAAUCGUCAGAGAGAAGAGAGCCUUUAAUGUUAAUAUGAUGAUACAAAGAGAGCAU